GGAAACUCUGAUGCAGCAACGCCGCGUGGAGGAUGACACAUUUCGGUGCGUAAACUCCUUUUAUAUAGGAAGAUAAUGACGGUACUAUAUGAAUAAGCGCCGGCUAACUCCGUGCCAGCAGCCGCGGUAAUACGGAGGGCGCAAGCGUUACUCGGAAUCACUGGGCGUAAAGAGCGUGUAGGCGGGUUAAUAAGUUUGAAGUGAAAUCCUAUGGCUCAACCAUAGAACUGCUUUGAAAACUGUUAACCUAGAAUAUGGGAGAGGUAGAUGGAAUUUCUGGUGUAGGGGUAAAAUCCGUAGAGAUCAGAAGGAAUACCGAUUGCGAAGGCGAUCUACUGGAACAUUAUUGACGCUGAGACGCGAAAGCGUGGGGAGCAAACAGGAUUAGAUACCCUGGUAGUCCACGCCCUAAACGAUGUACGCUAGUUGUUGUGAGGCUAGACCUUGCAGUAAUGCAGUAAACACAUUAAG
rnacentral:rRNA from 1 species